rnacentral:rRNA from 1 species
AACGCGAAGAACCUUACCAACCCUUGACAUGGAGGUCGUCGGAACCAGAGAUGGUUCUUUCAGUUCGGCUGGACCUCACACAGGUGUUGCAUGGCUGUCGUCAGCUCGUGUCGUGAGAUGUUGGGUUAAGUCCCGCAACGAGCGCAACCCUCAUCCUUAGUUACCAGCACGUUAUGGUGGGAACUCUAAGGAAACUGCCGGUGAUAAGCCGGAGGAAGGUGGGGAUGAUGUCAAGUCAUCAUGGCCCUUAUGGGUUGGGCUACACGCGUAAUACAAUGGUGGUGACAAUGGGAUGCAAGAUCGCGAGAUGGAGCAAAUCCCCAAAAGCCACCUCAGUUCGGAUUGGAGCCUGCAACUCGGCUCCAUGAAGUCGGAAUUGCUAGUAAUCGUGGAUCAGCAUGCCACGGUGAAUACGUUCCCGGGCCUUGUACGCACCGGCUAC